rnacentral:rRNA from 1 species
CCUACGGGGUGCAGCAGUGAGGAAUAUUGGUCAAUGGGCGAGAGUCUGAACCAGCCAAGUAGCGUGAAGGAUGACUGCCCUAUGGGUUGUAAACUUCUUUUAUAUGGGAAUAAAACGUUCCACGUGUGGGAUUUUGUAUGUACCAUAUGAAUAAGGAUCGGCUAACUCCGUGCCAGCAGCCGCGGUAAUACGGAGGAUCCGAGCGUUAUCCGGAUUUAUUGGGUUUAAAGGGAGCGUAGGUGGAUUGUUAAGUCAGUUGUGAAAGUUUGCGGCUCAACCGUAAAAUUGCAGUUGAAACUGGCAGUCUUGAGUACAGUAGAGGUGGGCGGAAUUCGUGGUGUAGCGGUGAAAUGCUUAGAUAUCACGAAGAACUCCGAUUGCGAAGGCAGUUCACUGGACUGCAACUGACACUGAGGCUCGAAAGUGUGGGUAUCAAACAGGAUUAGAUACCCGUGUAGUC